rnacentral:rRNA from 1 species
GAUGAACGCUGGCGGCGUGCCUAAUACAUGCAAGUCGAGCGAACAAACGAGGCGCUUGCUCAUCUGACGUUAGCGGCGGACGGAUGCGUAACAAAUGGAUAACAUACCUGUAAGACAGGGAUCACUUGAGGAAACAAGAGCUCAUAACAGCUCACAUGUUGCACCUUAUGGUUCAACAGUGAUUGCGCUCUAUGCUGUGUCUUAUAGAUGUAAGCGAGCUGGAUUAGCUAGUUGGCACCGUAACGGCUUACUAUGGCAACGCUGCGUGGACGACCUGUGAGGGUGAUCGGCCACGCUUGAACGGAUACACGGUCAAGACUCCUACGAGAGGCAGCAGAAGCGAAUCCUCCGCAAUGGGGGAAAGCCUGACGGAGCAACGCCGCGUGAGUGAAGAAGGGCUGCGGAUCGUAAAACUCUGUUAUUAGGGAAGAACAAAUGUGUAAGUAACUAUGCACGUCUUGACGGUACCUAAUCAGAAAGCCACGGCUAACUACGUG